rnacentral:lncRNA from 1 species
UCAACGCUGUUCACACCUGUCCCCUCUCUCUCUCUCUCUUUCUAUCUUGCUCUCUUGCUUUUAAUUUUUUCCUUAACGACGAAGAAAAGAAAAGCAGAGAAACGGAAGCAAUUUUUAGCAUAAAAAUAAAUACGAUUUCUCUCUCUGACUCUCUCUAGCUUUGAAGAUAAGAGUGUCGCAGCUUCGUCUCUUCUGCGACGUUAGGAGAUCAUUCAUCCGAUGGGUCUUCUCUCCAACAGGUUUCGUCUUCCCCCUCUCUCUUUUGUUUUCCAGAGAACUUGUUUAUCA